GGGGAGCUGAGUGAUGAAAAGAUCUACCACCAGUGCACUCUUGAAUUGGGGUGCGUGGGGGGCGGAGUGAACUCCAUUCCAAGCCACAGACACUUGCUUCUUGAUCAUGAUGUUUUGUGCAGGAAUAGAAGCCCUAAGAGAGUAGACAAAAUCAGUUGAAUGGGGGAUGCAGGGCUAGUCACAAUUUUGUACGGAGUGGUUGUGAAGGAUCUGGAAAAAUGAAAGAUUCUAUGACAUAAUGAAGAAGAUGUGCAAGAGGUGAGAGAUUCUGGAAGAAGAUAAAUUCAGACUGUUCUUUUAAAUUAAUUUCUGGCAGAACCCACUAUAUCCCCAAGAAUAUUCUCCCAGGGCUAGAUCUCACAAGCUAGAAAAUGUCCACCCGAUCUAGACAACAACAUUAAUAUAAACUUGUGUCACAUAGCAA